rnacentral:rRNA from 1 species
CACGUAGGCACCAAGCGUUGUCCGGAUUUAUUGGGCGUAAAGAGCUCGUAGGCGGUUCGGUAAGUCGGGUGUGAAAACUUUGGGCUCAACCCAAAGCGUGCACUCGAUACUGCCGUGACUUGAGUUCGGUAGGGGAGCGGGGAAUUCCUAGUGUAGCGGUGAAAUGCGCAGAUAUUAGGAGGAACACCGGUGGCGAAGGCGCCGCUCUGGGCCGAAACUGACGCUGAGGAGCGAAAGCGUGGGUAGCAAACAGG